AGUGAACGCUGGCGGUAGGCCUAACACAUGCAAGUCGAACGGCAGCACAGUAAGAGCUUGCUCUUACGGGUGGCGAGUGGCGGACGGGUGAGGAAUACAUCGGAAUCUACUUUUUCGUGGGGGAUAACGUGGGGAAACUUACGCUAAUACCGCAUACGACCUACGGGUGAAAGCAGGGGAUCUUCGGACCUUGCGCGAUUGAAUGAGCCGAUGUCGGAUUAGCUAGUUGGCGGGGUAAAAGCCCACCAAGGCGACGAUCCGUAGCUGGUCUGAGAGGAUGAUCAGCCACACUGGAACUGAGACACGGUCCAGACUCCUACGGGAGGCAGCAGUGGGGAAUAUUGGACAAUGGGCGCAAGCCUGAUCCAGCCAUACCGCGUGGGUGAAGAAGGCCUUCGGGUUGUAAAGCCCUUUUGUUGGGAAAGAAAAGCAGCAGGUUAAUACCCCGCUGUUCUGACGGUACCCAAAGAAUAAGCACCGGCUAACUUCGUG
rnacentral:rRNA from 1 species